UGCUAUUAUGAAUAGGCUAUUCAGUUUGAACUGAUGUGAAACAUUUUAUUUUUUCCUUCGUAUUUCUUUUAGUUUUUUCUGAUAAUAUUCUGCUGCCUGUUUUACUUCCUUUAAAUUGAUUUCUUGCCAUUUACUUGGGUUCUGCUUUGUAACUAGCCAUUUUUGUUUUUAACAAGUAGGGCUUAAUGAACCGACUUUAAUCAGCUGCUAUGUUUAUGCUGGAAUAUUUUUUAAAGGUUUUGAAAAUCUACUGAUUCUCAAUACUUUUUAAUUUAAUUUUGGAAUUUGUUUCAAAUUAGUUUGAUAGGGAAGACUUGGAAAGACUUCUAAAAUAUCUGAGCAUUUCUCUUCUGUUGGGAAACUAGUUCUCAGCCACUUCAGAAGAUGGGCAUGUCAGCACCCAGCACGAAGGCAGCUAAUCAAGCUGAAUCAAAUCUUUCUGGAAGGCAGAAGUCUUGCAAACUGUCUCUGACACCAUCUGCUGCACAAAGAAGGAAAAUAUGGUGUACUAAUUGAGGCCAUGUGAGGAUAUGAGAAGGUCACCAUCUACAAACAGAAGAGAUAUCUCACCAGAAGCCAAUCCUGAAGGCACUUAGAUCUUGGACUUCUAGCCUCCAAAACUAUUUGGACCACCCUUUCCUGGAUCUCUGUGACCCAUAUUGGGCAACCAAGAUAUCUUUGUGGCAUGAUCACUUCUUAACUUCUCAGAGGUCCCUUCUACAGUUUCAGUUAUUUUAGUGAGGGAGAGAAAAGUUGUCUCCAUAAGUCAUUUAACAUUUCUAAGUAUCAUUUGCCAAGUAAGCCCUUCACCAAAGGCAUUUUCUCUCUAUGAUACUGAGCGGUUUCAUGAAAUGUGAUUAAUAUAGUAUUUAUUUACUCACAGGAGAAAUGCUUUCGCUCAGCCUUUCUUUUUUAAAAAAGCUUUUUAGCCUUUCUUUCUUGAUGCUAACUCAGUAAAGAUGUCUGUCUGA